rnacentral:rRNA from 1 species
GACGAACCGUGCAAACGUUAUUCGGAAUCACUGGGCUUAAAGGGCGCGUAGGCGGGCUCCCAAGUCGGUGGUGAAAUCUUUCGGCCCAACCGGAAAAGUGCCGCCGAUACUGGGAGCCUCGAGGGAGGUAGGGGUCGAGGGAACUCUAGGUGGAGCGGUGAAAUGCGUAGAUAUCUGGAGGAACGCCGGUGGCGAAAGCGCUCGACUGGACCUCUUCUGACGCUGAGGCGCGAAAGCCAGGGGAGCAAACGGGAUUAGAUACCCCGGUAGUCCUGGCCCUAAACGAUGGGUACCAGAUUGUGGACUGGACAUGGGUUCACAGUCGAGGCAAAAGUGUUAAGUACCCCGCCUGGGGAGUAUGGUCGCAAGGCUGAA